AGAGUUUGAUCCUGGCUCAGAGCGAACGCUGGCGGCAGGCCUAACACAUGCAAGUCGAACGGAUCCUUCGGGAUUAGUGGCGGACGGGUGAGUAACACGUGGGAACGUGCCUUUUGGUUCGGAACAACUCAGGGAAACUUGAGCUAAUACCGGAUAAGCCCUUCGGGGGAAAGAUUUAUCGCCAUUAGAGCGGCCCGCGUAGGAUUAGCUAGUUGGUGGGGUAAAGGCCCACCAAGGCGACGACCCUUAGCUGGUCUGAGAGGAUGAUCAGCCACAUUGGGACUGAGACACGGCCCAAACUCCUACGGGAGGCAGCAGUGGGGAAUCUUGCGCAAUGGGCGAAAGCCUGACGCAGCCAUGCCGCGUGAAUGAUGAAGGUCUUAGGAUUGUAAAAUUCUUUCACCGGGGACGAUAAUGACGGUACCCGGAGAAGAAGCCCCGGCUAACUUCGUGCCAGCAGCCGCGGUAAUACGAAGGGGGCUAGCGUUGCUCGGAAUUACUGGGCGUAAAGGGAGCGUAGGCGGACUGUUAAGUUAGAGGUGAAAGCCCAGGGCUCAACCUUGGAAUAGCCUUUGAUACUGGCAGUCUUGAGUACGGAAGAGGUAUGUGGAACUCCGAGUGUAGAGGUGAAAUUCGUAGAUAUUCGGAAGAACACCAGUGGCGAAGGCGACAUACUGGUCCGUUACUGACGCUGAGGCUCGAAAGCGUGGGGAGCAAACAGGAUUAGAUACCCUGGUAGUCCACGCCGUAAACGAUGAGUGCUAGUUGUCGGCAUGCAUGCAUGUCGGUGACGCAGCUAACGCAUUAAGCACUCCGCCUGGGGAGUACGGUCGCAAGAUUAAAACUCAAAGGAAUUGACGGG
rnacentral:rRNA from 1 species